ACAAAUGAAAGAAGAACAUCUUGAAUUUAUACAAUGACUGGGAGAAGGCUUAAUGUGUUCUUAGAACUGUAACUCCUAUUUGGAGAGAUUGCAAAAAGGAGCACCAGGGACAGAACCCUUGGAAGAGCCACAGGGGAUGGCAAAUGGCUCUCUCUGCUGGCUGAGCAUGUGAGCAGUCCGUACGACCAAGAUCAUUGUUGUCUCCAGCAGUGGAGAGCACCAGUUGCAGGAAUUUCAUCAGGGGCAUACAAGUCGUGGAUUUGACUGGGACAAUUUCUUGUACAUUUCCAUUGUUUUUAACAAGAGGAGGAAGCUGUGCUGUGAAGGAUCCUUUUUCAUCAUGAUUAUUGCAUCCACAGAAGCAGUGAUAAAUUCUAAUAGAUAAUGCAACUCAGUCUACUUGGAUGUUCACACCUGAGACUGGAGAAGACCUGCUGCCUUCUGCAGAGCCAAACAUUCCUCACAUGCUCCUUCACAAUGCUGCGAGCCAUAUUUAUUCAUUUAAAAGCUAGUACCUCGCUAUUUCUUGUACAUUAAUUCUUUUAAAACGUUUACAAAACAAACUAAAUUUAAAGAGGAAAUUAUUUACUGAUAGAACUAAUGGCCUGAAAAUAGUUGCCCAACAUAGCAUCGCACAUAGCAACAGGAAGUAGUUUAUAUACUAGGAAGUCUCUUUAAAAUGUGCUUGGAUAUUGCCAAAAUUCUCUGCCUUAUAAACUAAGGAGUUCUUUUUUUUUAUUUUUUAGAGUUAAUGCAGCAAGAAUAGUCUUAUAUAGACUAUAAACUCCUGGUACACUGUGUCUACAUUGCUCACUGCAGUAUCCCAACAUCUAAGACCAUGGUCUUAGAUGUCUGGUACAGGACUGGUGCUCAGUAUGCAUUGAAUGAAUAAAUGAAUGAAUAUAGCAAAGC